rnacentral:misc_RNA from 1 species
UCCUGGUUAACCCAGGCAGUCUCACUAGAGUUCCCACCAUUACGUGUUGGCAACUAGUGACAAGGGUUGCGCUCGUUGCGGGACUUAACCCAACACCUCACGGCACGAGCUGACGACAGCCAUGCAGCACCUGUGCAGAAGCCCUUUCGGGCUACGCCAUCUCUGGCGUAUUCCUCUGCAUGUCAAGCCUGGGUAAGGUUCUUCGCGUUGCAUCGAAUUAAACCACAUGCUCCACUGCUUGUGCGGGUCCCCGUCAAUUCUUUUGAGUUUCACCCUUGCGAGCGUACUCCCCAGGCGGUAUACUUAUCGCGUUAGCUACGGCACAGCUGGGGUUGAGUCCAGCUACACCUAGUAUACAUCGUUUACGGCAAGGACUAC